ACGGGUGAGUAACACGUGGAUAACCUGCCCUGGGGAUCGGGAUAACUGGCCGAAAGGCCCGCUAAUACCGGAUAAGACCACAUGAGUUUCGGCUCAAGGGGUCAAAGUCGGCCUCUCAACGAAGCCGGCACCACAGGAGGGGUCCGCGAACCAUUAGCUAGUUGGUAGGGUAAUGGCCUACCAAGGCCGAGAUGGUUAGCUGGUCUGAGAGGAUGAUCAGCCACACUGGAACUGAGAUACGGUCCAGACUCCUACGGAAGGCAGCAGUGAGGAAUAUUGCGCAAUGGGGGAAACCCUGACGCAGCAACGCCGCGUGGGUGAAGAAGGCCUUCGGGUUGUAAAGCCCUGUCAGGCGGGAAGAAACCUUUUUAGGUGAAUAGCCUAGAAAUCUGACGGUACCGCCAAAGGAAGCACCGGCUAACUCCGUGCCAGCAGCCGCGGUAAGACGGAGGGUGCAAGCGUUGUUCGGAAUCACUGGGCGUAAAGCGCGUGUAGGCGGUUUGCUAAGUCGAUUGUGAAAGCCCGAGGCUCAACCUCGGAAGUGCAGUCGAAACUGGCAGGCUUGAGUACGGGAGAGGGAAG
rnacentral:rRNA from 1 species